rnacentral:rRNA from 1 species
GUCGAGCGGAUGAGUGGAGCUUGCUCCAUGAUUCAGCGGCGGACGGGUGAGUAAUGCCUAGGAAUCUGCCUGGUAGUGGGGGACAACGUUUCGAAAGGAACGCUAAUACCGCAUACGUCCUACGGGAGAAAGUGGGGGAUCUUCGGACCUCACGCUAUCAGAUGAGCCUAGGUCGGAUUAGCUAGUUGGUGAGGUAAAGGCUCACCAAGGCGACGAUCCGUAACUGGUCUGAGAGGAUGAUCAGUCACACUGGAACUGAGACACGGUCCAGACUCCUACGGGAGGCAGCAGUGGGGAAUAUUGGACAAUGGGCGAAAGCCUGAUCCAGCCAUGCCGCGUGUGUGAAGAAGGUCUUCGGAUUGUAAAGCACUUUAAGUUGGGAGGAAGGGCAGUAAGUUAAUACCUUGCUGUUUUGACGUUACCAACAGAAUAAGCACCGGCUAACUUCGUGCCAGCAGCCGCGGUAAU